GACGAACCGUGCGAACGUUGUUCGGAAUCACUGGGCUUAAAGGGCGCGUAGGCGGGUCACCAAGUCCGGGGUGAAAUCUUUCGGCUUAACCGGAAAACUGCCUUGGAUACUGGUGACCUCGAGGGAGGUAGGGGUCUGUGGAACUUCUGGUGGAGCGGUGAAAUGCGCAGAUAUCAGGAGGAACACCGGUGGCGAAGGCGGUUCUCUGGGAAUAUCCUGACGCUGAGGAGCGAAAGUGUGGGGAGCGAACAGG
rnacentral:rRNA from 1 species